UAUUUUUAGUAGAGACAGGGUUUCACCGUGUUAGCCAGGAUAGUCUCGAUCUCCUGACCUUGUGAUCUGCCCACCUCGGCCUCCUAGAGUGCUGGGAUUACAGGCGUGAGCCACCGCACGCGGCCGGUUGAUGAUCUUAAUACAGUGAUGCCAAGGAAAUCCAAGGAGAUGCAGCUCGAUCUGUCACAUCUUCUGUCUUUGUUAAGGCAGCUCUGAUAAAAGGAAGGGCUCACAGAUAAUCUGUAUUUCCCACCUCUUUUACAAUGGGGCCUUAUGACUGAGCUCUGGCCAAUGGAAUGUAGGUGGGAGAGAUGCAUGCCUGGCCUGGCUCAUAGAAACCUUCCUCAUGGCCCUUCCUUCUCCUCCCUUCCAAUGUGACUCUUGACGGUGACAUGCUGAAGAUGGGCGUGCAACCUGGGUCUUUGGGGAUCCAGUUGGAGAAGAGUGCCCUGAUCCACUUUGGACUAUGGUGAAAGGAAUCCAAUUUUAAUGUUGUUAAACAGCUGAGAUUUUAGGAUUGUUUAUGUUAGUGUCAGUGUAGAAGCUAAUGUUAC
rnacentral:lncRNA from 1 species